UGAUCCAGCCAUUCCGCGUGAGUGAAGAAGGCCUUCGGGUUGUAAAGCUCUUUCGCAAGGGAAGAAAACUUAUGAUCGAAUAAAUCAUGAGGUUGACGGUACCUUGAUAAGAAGCACCGGCUAACUACGUGCCAGCAGCCGCGGUAAUACGUAGGGUGCGAGCGUUAAUCGGAAUUACUGGGCGUAAAGCGUGCGCAGGCGGUUUUGUAAGUCGGAUGUGAAAUCCCCGGGCUCAACCUGGGAACUGCGUUCGAAACUGCAAGGCUAGAGUGUGUCAGAGGGGGGUAGAAUUCCACGUGUAGCAGUGAAAUGCGUAGAGAUGUGGAGGAAUACCAAUGGCGAAGGCAGCCCCCUGGGAUAACACUGACGCUCAUGCACGAAAGCGUGGGGAGCAAACAGGAUUAGAUACCCUGGUAGUCCACGCCCUAAACGAUGUCAACUAGUUGUUGGUAGAGUAAAAUCUAUGAGUAACGUAGCUAACGCGUGAAGUUGACCGCCUGGGGAGUACGGUCGCAAGAUUAAAACUAAGG
rnacentral:rRNA from 1 species